GAGCGGGGGUCAACUGUCCUCCCUGUACCAAAAGAGGCCAACGUCAUGACAGUAGCGUUCCACAUAAUUUUUAGAAAGUGAAACUUUAGAAAAUACAAAACAAAAUAAAGAAUAAACAAACCGCGACCAACAAUACUAUACAUAAACAAUAUCCCAUAACCCCCAAGUGAAAAACAAGCUACUUAAGUAUUAUCCCAAAUUAGAGACAACGAUUACCAGCUGCCUCUAAUUGGGAAUCAUACCAAUCACCCAAACUUAGAAAAACUAAAUUAGAACCCCACAUAGAAUAUAACAACUAGAAAAAAAACCUGUCACGCCCUGACCUACUCUACCAUAGAAAAUAAAAUCUUUCUAUGGUCAGGACGUGACACAGAGUCAGAGUGCUGGUAAGUCUCAUGUCUACUGAUUUGAGCUAAAAUAUGGUGUAGAUUUUAGUUUCUCAGAAAACUACAGGAAGUGAUGCAACACUUGAGGUUUUGGUCUCCUCCUUUAUCACACAUUUAUUUUCUGUCUGUCUGUCUGCCUUCUAGCCUGUCUGUUUGUCUUCCUGCCUUACUGAGAAACCAACUGAUCGAAUGAACGUUGUAAUUAAUGCUAUAAUUCAUGUUAUCUAUAAUAUAUACAGUACUCUGUAAAGUAUCUCCUCCUGUCUGUGGUCAGGUCUGAUGGUAUCUAUGAUAUAUACAGUACUCUGUAAAGUAUCUCCUCCUGUCUGUGGUCAGGUCUGAUGGUAUCUAUGAUAUAUACAGUACUCUGUAAAGUCUCUCCUCCUGUCUGUGGUCAGGUCUGAUGGUAUCUAUGAUAUAAACAGUACUCUGUAAAGGCUCUCCUCCUGUCUGUGGUCAGGUCUGAUGGUAUCUAUGAUAUAUACAGUACUCUGUAAAGUAUCUCCUCCUGUCUGUGGUCAGGUCUGAUGGUAUCUAUGAUAUAUACAGUUCUCUGUAAAGUAUCUCCUCCUGUCUGUGGUCAGGUCUGAUGGUAUCUAUGAUAUAUACAGUACUCUGUAAAGUCUCUCCUCCUGUCUGUGGUCAGGUCUGAUGGUAUCUAUGAUAUAUACAGUACUCUGUAAAGUCUCUCCUCC
rnacentral:lncRNA from 1 species